GGACUGGUUUAGGUUGUGACAAAGUUGGUAUGAGAGCAUAGGUUUGGUUUCAUUGGCUAUCCAUAAAGCCGUAUCAAGUAGGGUCUCUUUUAUGGGUGUGUAGCAUGCUACACUUACAAGGGAGAGACUACGAGACAUUUAAGAAUGUUUUCCUUUCUUGUUGUUUUAUUUUUGGGCUGUAGAGUCUAGGAUGUUUAAAUCCCUU
rnacentral:lncRNA from 1 species